GCUAUUUACCUGUGUCUGCUUUGGUCAUUUGGGAAUGUGUGGAGACAUCUAGUUUAAUCAACAGCAUGUACUUCUUUAGUAGAAAAAAAUACAGCUUGUAUCCUCUCUGGGAACAUUAGAAACAAAUACCGAUCGGGCUGCUAGCGUAGAAUAAGUCAGAAUUGAUUUUAAAGGGGCCUUAGUGAAUGGCCAGUUACAAACAAUAUCACAAGCCUUCUUAAUAUUGAUAAGGAUAGUUGUUAGAAUGCAUUUAUAUAAGCUACAAUCUAAUAGUUAGAACAGUUAUAAAACGUAUAUAUUUUAUAUAAAGUAGCUCGUUAUUAUUAUUUGUUAUAGGUAGCCUAUUUUACAGUUUACAGGGAACUGAAUUCAGGUAUCAACAUUGCUUUAUCAAAAGCAGUCAUAAUCUUGACAUGUGCUUUGCAAAAAGAGGUUGUUGCAGUAUGAAAGUGGAGAGAGAAGGUUAUGUUGGUUUAAGGGGUAGGCUAGCACUGAUUCGCCUUCUGCGGGCGGGCUGCUGAUUGGACAGCGCUCUAUAACCCGCUGCAGCGCAGUGAGCGCACCACCUCGCAACCGCUCGUUCACUACGCCGUCCUUUCGCACUGUGCUCUGAAGAAAACUGUCAGGAUUUCACCAGUGCAGAUAAUCUGACCGAAAAGAUUCACAUACAGCCUAAAAGUGAGAUCUGGGAAGAAAACAAACACCCCUCAUAUGCAAAGAGCACAUCUCGGCUUUCUGUGACCUACAGACAAAGACAUUCUGCAGAACCUGAACUGAGGAGCAUCUCUGUCCACUCCACCCUAUAGAUUUUUUUAAUGAUGUCAGAUCAGACGCAAUGCAGUGAUGACCCACAGCAAUAGCAAUAGGUCAAUCACUGGAAAGUGGAUGCAAAUCUCAGCACAAUCGGAAGAGUGUAGAAGCUUCCAGAAACAUCUAGAACAGAGGUUCUCAACUAUUUUGACUCAAAAGCCCAAAAGUGCCUAAGCUAGGAUAUUUUGGCUAGUAUUUCUGCUAUAAUCAUGAAAAAGAUUGCUUGUUUUUAAUCUUUUUUUUUAUUUAUAAACCUAAAUUGGGAAACUAGCAGAAAUAGUAAUAGAUCGGAACAAAAAUAAAUAUGAUUUCCUCAUUUUAUGUAUUUCAAGCAUUUUAAUAAAGUUUGAAUUCAUUAAUAAUAUGAUUAAUAUCAGUUAAAUAAAUAAUCAUAUAUUAUACUGAAUAAUUUUAAGUCA